GACGGAGGGGGCUAGCGUUGUUCGGAAUGACUGGGCGUAAAGGGCGCGUAGGCGGUUUUUUAAGUGAGGCGUGAAAGCCCUGGGCUUAACCCAGGAGGUGCGUUUCAGACUGGAAGGCUUGAGUGCGAGAGAGGAAAGUGGAAUUCCUAGUGUAGAGGUGAAAUUCGUAGAUAUUAGGAAGAACACCAGUGGCGAAGGCGGCUUUCUGGCUCGCAACUGACGCUGAGGCGCGAAAGCGUGGGGAGCAAACAGG
rnacentral:rRNA from 1 species